CUCUACAGGCGGCAAGUUUCAGCCUUGGUGUAGCUGACUGAGCUUGAUGAAAUCUCCACGUGUUGAUAGAUUGACGCUGAAUGGGCUUGAACAGAAGAGUAAAAAGGGAAAAAAUCAGUAAAGACUAUUAAAGCACAAUCUCCCUGUGUUUCGAGCCUGCAGUGGCAAUUUGUGAGAUUGAUUUGUGUUGCUUUAAAGACAGUUGUAAAACCAAAAGAGAAAAAGAAG